rnacentral:rRNA from 1 species
GCAAUACAAUAAGCGGAGGAAAAGAAACUAACAAGGAUUCCCCUAGUAACGGCGAGUGAAGCGGGAAGAGCUCAAAUUUGAAAUCUGGUGGCCUCAGGUCAUCCGAGUUGUAAUCUAUAGAAGUGUUUUCCGUGCUGGCUCAUGUACAAGUCCCUUGGAACAGGGCGUCAUAGAGGGUGAGAAUCCCGUCCUUGACAUGAACUACCAGUGCUCUGUGAUACAUUUUCAACGAGUCGAGUUGUUUGGGAAUGCAGCUCAAAAUGGGUGGUAAAUUCCAUCUAAAGCUAAAUAUUGGCGAGAGACCGAUAGCGAACAAGUACCGUGAGGGAAAGAUGAAAAGCACUUUGGAAAGAGAGUUAAACAGUAUGUGAAAUUGUUGAAAGGGAAACGAUUGAAGUCAGUCGUGCUCUUUGGAUUCAGCCGGUUCUGCCGGUGUACUUCCUUUGAGUGGGGUCAACAUCAGUUUUGAUCGCUGGAUAAAGGCUGGAGGAACGUAGUACCCUCGGGUAAACUUAUAGCCUCCUGUCACAUACAGUGGUUGGGACUGAGGAACGCAGCACGCCUUUAUGGCCGGGAUUCGUCCACGUACGUGCUUAGGAUGUUGACAUAAUGGCUUUAAACGACCCGUCUUGAAACACGGACC